UCCCGUAUGGCGCAAUAGGCAGCGCGUCUGACUGUUAAUCAGGAGGUUGAAAGUUCGAACCUUUCUAUGGGAG